rnacentral:rRNA from 1 species
AAAGGAAUUGACGGGGACCCGCACAAGCGGUGGAGCAUGUGGUUUAAUUCGACGCAACGCGAAGAACCUUACCAGGGCUUGACAUCUUCCGCAAUCUUGGGAAACCAGGAGUUCAGACCUUCGGGUCUGACGGAAAGACAGGUGGUGCAUGGUUGUCGUCAGCUCGUGUCGUGAGAUGUUGGGUUAAGUCCCGCAACGAGCGCAACCCCUACUUUUAGUUGCCAUCAGGAGAGCUGGGCACUCUAAAGGAACUGCCGGUGACAAACCGGAGGAAGGUGGGGAUGACGUCAAAUCAUCAUGCCCUUUAUGUCCUGGGCUACACACGUGCUACAAUGGUCGGUACAGAGGGUUGCAAAGCCGCGAGGUGGAGCGAAUCCCAAAAAGCCGGUCUCAGUUCGGAUUGCAGUCUGCAACUCGACUGCAUGAAGUCGGAAUCGCUAGUAAUCGCGAGUCAGCAUAUCGCGGUGAAUACGUUCCCGGGUCUUGCACACACCGCCCGU